UGGCAACUUCUGCCAGUGAUGGGACAGGCGGGAGGCGGAUUUUGUGAUGCGUGCGAGUGAGUGAUUUUUGGCAAUCCCUCAACAACCCUGGGUAAUCCCCCCCCAAAAAAAUUUCAACAACUCUGUGCCAUCUCCCCCUGUUUUCUUAAAUUUGAGUCUCCAAAAAUAGGGGGGCGUCUUAUAAAUGGGGGCGUCUUAUAGACGGGAAAGUAUGGUAUAUUGCCAAGUCCUGUCCCCUGUGACACAUCAUUGUCACACUGUUUAGAGCCCUCCAAAUUUUGAGGGUGAAGGUCUGAAGUAGGGAGCCGUUACUACUUAUAGAGGCUCCCUCCACAAUACAAAACCCUAAUUGUGAAGGGCUCUAAAUCAUGUGGAGAACCCUCAGAUUCAUGGAGGGCUCUAAAAUGUGUAGGAAUGAUGAGCUGGAGGGGGUGGGGCUUUUCUUCAUCUGUUUCUCGAUGCACAGGGAGAAACCUAAAUAGGGAUUUUGUCCGGGGCACUUGGUCGGGAUAUAGCACUCUAGGAAAUCGAUGCAAAAUUUAGUUUUGGUCCCCACCCCCACCCCCAACUUUACACAGAGUGGAAGAAAAUAAAUAAAGUUCUGCUUCCAUUUCAAUCAAUUGUAAAAUGAUGCUAUGUGCUAAUGAUAUAACAAUAUUUGCCCCAGGGAAUUUUUAAAGAACAUUAUUUGCCUGGUUUCGACUGACACAUUUAGUUAAACUGGUGGUAAAUGCUUUCAAACCAAGAAUGUUUUUCUAUCUAUUCUCUUAGCAAUACCAGUCCAGACAUCGUAAGCAACAGGUAGGGCACACCUGUAACAAUUCCUUGGAGUGCUCUACACAGCAGAUGUAAUGAUGUUCCAUAAAUGAAUUCAAAAACCUGCCAAGAUAAUAAAGCUGUAAUGUGAAAAUGAUGCUUGAAACUGUUGUUUCAUAUAUGUAUAUAUAUAUCUCCUACUUGCUUGUUCAAUUCACAUAAAUAUUUUUGAAUGCCUCUUCUUACAAACUCCAACAGAGAACAAGAGCAAGCAUUUGAUACACCUUUAUUAAUUUAUUCCUAUAGCUGCAGUGGCAUUGCAGGUCUGUCUUAUUUGCCCCAGUUCCUAGCUGCCAAUAUGAUAAUUUGCCUUUAUGUACAGGCAGCAACCGUUUUAAACGUGCCUGAUAUGGGGGCAACUGCACACGCAGGUAUUGCACCGAGCCCGGAAGUGACCUAAAAAUGUCACAAAAAGGGGCUGAACGGGCUGGCGCAGAGGCGAAAUGAGGUGUUUGCAGGCUUUUUCAACAGUGUUUCAAAUAUGCACGCUUUCACUUAAACAUGCUGUGCCUUGGAACCUAACCCCCACAUAAACUGGGAGUUGCCUCUAGCACAUUUCUUUUGAAGCAUCUGAGAAAUGAGACGUAGGAACUUUGUUAUUCUGGGAUUAAGCUGCUUCUGUCACUACCUAGUUACAGAUGCCCUUGUAUUUUAAAAUAACAGAAGGUGGUUGGGAUGGGGGAGAGAGAAGAUUUUCCAACGUAGAGUGAGAUGUAACAGUGUUGAGCAAUGAUUAUUACAUUUUGUUUCUCACUGGCGGUUUUAUUAAUUCUUUUUAAGGUACUGAUUUUGGCAGGGUUUGCAUCUUCUUCUGAAACUGUCUUUCGUGCAGAUGGCAUCAAACUGAAACAUGCGCAAUCAGACCCUAUAUUUUAGAUAUCCACCUCUCCUUAGAUUUAUUGAAAAUCAGAUCUGGUCUGGUAACACAGACGUGGAAUCGGGGUGAAGCCAAACCGCAUAGUUUUGACCCAGGCUGGUCUCCAUAUUUUGAUUAUAUAAACAGGGAGAGUCAUACAAGUACUUCUCCCAAAGCCCUCAUUGCAGUUGGGCUAUAUACACUCAUCUUAAAACCUUGGCUAUAUAUAACUGCAUCUCUGUAAUUUGUUUUUUUAUAUAUACUGAAUACGAUUUGUGUAUAGUUUUGUUAUUGUAUGGUUAAGUUAGUUUGUGUAUGUUUAUGAUAUAUCACUAAAAUUAUUAUUUUUAAAAAAGAAAAUCAGAUCUGACCUUGGCCCAUAUUAGGCAACGGUGAUGCCUUCAAGCCCUGGCAUGCAACAAUCAUAUCCUGUACAGAUGGACUUCACAGUGGGUAAUGGACCCCACCACCAAUCCUCUACUUCCAGUAAGUAAUUCAAAGUGGAGGAGAUACAUCUGGGAGAGCAUUAUUCACUGACAAGGCAAGGACUGACACCCAUAGACAUUGGUGAUGAUGCCAUUGCUAAGGCCCAGAAGCUAGGGUCCUAAUGCAGACCCAGUAUAGAGUCCAGAAAAAAGAAUCAGAUCUCCAGGUGCCAGUUAAUCUGGGUGCUCUGGUUGAUUUAUGGACAGCGAAAUCCAAACCACAGCUAGGGAGCUAUGGCUCAGACCCACAGUAUCCCAGGACCUACUGCUCAUGUCAGCAGCAGGGUUUGGGACGUUGCUGUUGCUGUAACUCUGGACUGAUACAGCUGAGGGACCCAAAUUGAACUCCACUCCAGGGAAUGGAACAUCUUAGGAUUCAGCAGAUCCAUAACUGCCUGUGGUCUGCCUCCAUCCUGCAAUUGCCACCUUUGGGAACCUACACUGGCUUUUGACAAUGGGGACAUUGCCGGUGAUGGCUUCUCAACUGCCUGGCUUCAGUGAAUGCCUCCAUGAUGAUGGAAUUCCCUCUACCUCCAGCAGAUGGGGUUGGCCACUGGAUCCUAACCCCCUCUAGCAGCACAGAUUUGGGGAUUAGUCUCCCUCUCUUCUUUAUUUGCAUUUAUCCUGCCUUACUAUGUAGUAUACGCGCACGCACACAUGCACGAGUUGGACUCAAGUAACUUUUACUCAGAUUAGAUACCUUGGAAAGUUAGUCAUGGUCAUUAAUUUCAAGGGGUUUACAAGUUAGUUGAAGACAACCCUAUAUAUUUUCAUUUUAUGCUCAUCUCUUUUGUUUUUGGUAGUGUUUUAUGCUUGGUUCUGAGGGGUGUUUUUUGGUCAUUUGUAUUGCGAAUGUUUCGCUGUUUCUGUAUUUCAUUGAUUUUUGUAAAUCGGCCAGAGAAGAACUUGGGUCUCAAAAUGGAGGAAGCAAAUAAGUGAUUUCUCUCUCUCUCUCUCUCUCUAUAUAUAUAUAUAUUCUCAAGGCGGAUGACGUGGACAUGGGUGAGCUCAGAAUUGGCUGCCCACCCCAGGAACAAAACACUUUUUUGUUUUCUAAUUCCAGUGGUUUCCAAUUUACAUCUUGAGUGCCUUUCAGCAUUCAGCAGCUCUCUCACUAUUUGUAACAUGUGUGAGUGCUAACAAGGAGGAACAGGAAGGAGAGAAAUCAGAUGAACGUGUUUGCCAAUGUAAAGUUUACAUUUACGUUACAGAACGAUUUAAGUGAAAACGUGUGUAAUCCUCACCUUUGGAGUUUUCCUUUAGGUGCCCACCAGCCAGCCAUGCAAGGAAAUGUGUGCGUGUGGCAGUAACAUUUAGUUUCUCGUUUCUCAGCAACUUGAAUGAGUUUGGAAAAUGGGUUAUUUAUACCAAGCAACAAAAGCACAGGCCAUUCUAGAUAAUAUAGAUUUGCCUCUCUGUCCUACUCUGAGUAGACCCAGUGGGCUUAACUUAAACAUCACAGAGCUACCAUUCCCAAUAAAAACGUAUUUAUUUAUUUAUUUUUAAAAAAUCAAUUUUAAAAAAUCAAUCCUCCUCAGAAAGCUUUACAAAUUAUAGUACUGUGGCGGGAAAAGAGGUCUACGAAGAACUCUCAGCACCCAUAACAAAAUGCAGCUCCCAUGAUUCUUUGGGGGAAGCACUGUUUAAAGUAGCACAAUACUGCUUUAAUUGUGUAGUACAGAUGGGGAAGUCCUUUGAUUUUAAUAGAUCCACUCAGAGAAGGACUUAGCUUGAUAUAACCCAAAGUUCUGUUUGUAUAGUUUGACCUUCAGAGCUAUCUAUUAAUGAAUAAAUUCCGUGUUAUUUGCCAAGGGAAAUGUAAUUUUGCAACCAACAUGAAUGCAAACUUGCAUAUUUUUAUUGUUUGCGUAAUUUGUUCUUUGGCUAGACAUGGGAGGAAAGUAGCUCCACAUGACACUCCAACCUACCUGCUCAGUUGCCCUAGUGACUUCUGAGUUUCUCCAGGUACAGCCCAGUUUUAAGUCACUGAGUUUCUCCAGUUGGUGGAUACUGUGCUGUGUAACAAAUCCUGUGCUUCUACCUAUCCAUGGAAUAUACACAGCUUCAACGAACCCUAGAGUGUUCAAGCUCCUUGAUGCAGUAACAGAGCAGAAUCCAAAUUCCUUAGAUGCAGGCAACCUGGAUAUUCCCACAGAGAUGCAGGUGCUUGUGGGCUAUUAUACUCGGUCUCUGUGUCUCCUGUUCCUGUUUCAUUUGACUGAUUCGCUUUGUCAGCAGCUGCAACCAGUUCCAUUCACCCUGCCAACUUCAGCGUAAGCCAAUUGCAAGGUCAAUUUUCACUUUGCUGCAGAGGAGUUGCAAGGCAGUAAAACCUGAUCAUGUGGCGUUUUCCAUGUUACUAGCACAUGUCAUUUUGUUUGGCCCUUAGUGUUCUAAGUAUAUAGAUGCAUGUGAUGCAUAUCAUUCCCAUAGAAAAAGACCCACUCUGGUCUCUCUUCAGAUCGUAUAAAUCUUUUGCCUUUUACUGAAAAAGACCCACAUUAGUGCAGUGGAAAGAUGACCAGACCUAAGGAACCCGGAGUUCUCCUCCUAUCUUAGCUAUGGCCUCACUGUGUAUGCCCUCAAGUCAAAUUUAUGUACAUGCAUCUAUUUUUGAAUUGCUCACAUCUGUAUCACACUCUUUCUCCAAAUCCUUCAGGUCACCCACCUCACUAUUCACAUGCCUGGGAGUUAUGCACAUUUCUGCUCUGCUUGUGAAAAGUUCUGUAGUCUAAAAGCUGACACCAACAUUGCCUCAAGAAAACACAUCAGCUGCACUAUUCCUUGUUCAUGCUAAAGAGUGUAAAUGAGUUAAAUGUUAAUCAAGGGGGGGGGUUAAGUGAUUUUAACUACAGUAUAGGAAGGUAAUAACAAAAUACUUUUUUAUAAAAAAAAGUACUGUAAUAAAUUGUUGCGAAGGAUUGUGUGUUUAUCUGAUACGGAUAAUUUACUGUGGAAUGUGUUUGUAAUUGGUUACUAUAUAUACAAAAUUAUGUUGUUAUGAUGAUUAUUGGAACAAGUUUGCUAGAAAAGGCAUUUCCCCCUUGAAACAACCAUUCCUUAGGCUCACCUUCAAGCACACACGUUCUGGCAGAAAUGUGCCAUCCUUUAAGGCUUUCCCCUUGCUGUCAUGCCAGAAGCCUUUAUAAAUGUGAACUGAGAUGCCACUAUUUCCUGCUCAAAGCAAGGCUGUUUGUAACAACUGUCUCAAGAGUUCUCACCGGCUUAAUGAGCUGGUAGCUGCUUGUUCUGGAAAGGCAGGCAAUCAUAUGUGUCUUUAUCUGUUCAUUAAUCUUAGCCAUUCUCAAGCUGCUCUUCUCUGGCAAUUCUUUACCUUUGUGCCGCAUCGCCUCUUCCUCAAAUGCCACCGAGUUGCGAUAAAUAAAACUCGAGAGUUCCAGGGCUCUUUCGUAGCAUUAUUAAAUCUAAUAAUGAACCCAAAAUGUUGGCAACCUAUCCUGAGAGGAGAUUUCCUUAUAAUUGGAUGUUGUUUUUUUGCCUCUGCCCGGUGUCAUUUCAGGAGCUAAUGCCUUCAGAAAGCUGAUCUAUAGAGGUGUAUCUCAAUCUGACAAUCUAUUUGUCAUCGAGAGCUUACUCCAGGAAAGCAAGGCACACUAAUUUAAGUGCAACUUCCAGCAGGUCCCCUAUUGCGCUGCAAAAAGAUGCCGUGGUAAACUGAGUGUUUGGCUUCAGAAUUCAUGAAGAAAUCAAUUUUGUAAACAUGGAAACUCAAUGUGCAGCUGUCACACUGUAGAGUACAGGGUACUCCAGGAUAAAUGUACUCUGGGAUAAAGAGUACUCCAGGAUAAAUGGCUUGAGAACUUCAGCUCUAACAUGUCUAUUAACCACUGUUUCAUUGCUUGAAUCCAUAAAUGAAUAAAUCCAUUUCCUUACUGGGCUCCAUAAUGUCUGUUAAGAGCUCAUUAAAUGUUUCCAAAGAAAUACUUGGUUGCAACAGUGGUCCCGGAAAAGGGUUUCUCGAAGUACUAGGAGAAUGCACUCUCUUUGGGGAGUAUUGUUGUACCAAUUGGGGGCAGAGUUUGGCAGGCCUUGCCAGUAUUUGUUAACACAUGUGAUUUCUCAAAGUGUGGGUGCUGACCGCCGCUGCCCCCCAGGAAUGCUGAGAUGAAGUCACAAGCUCUUGACCCAUUAAGGUCUUAGGAAUAACACUUACAAUUACAUUAAAAGGUUUAUCCUCCAUUCAGUGAGAGAGCCACCACUUCAAAUUGUCCAGGAAAUAAACUUCCCAAAU
rnacentral:lncRNA from 1 species